GUCUUGGCGGGAAGCUCAGGUUAGUUAUGGAGAUCAGCAUCAAUUGGGACAACAUUAACAAAACUGCAGGCUCUCUUCAUAUGGGAGGGAGCUGCAUAACAGGCUUUUGUCUGAAAGGUUUCAUGCAUUUGGAAGGCUAUGAUUUGCAUGAUGUUCAAAUCGUCUAAUGAACUCUUUCCUUUUGAUGCAUCUAUCACUUUAUGAUGAUAAUGAGCUAUCAUGAAUUUUUGUUGUGUCAAAAAGUGAGCUAUGUUUAAAGGUGUCUAAUGAUGGCAACUGAUGACAUAGUAAAGAAAGUGUGUCGAUGGCUUUAUAAACAGAUGUCUGAUCUCCGACCUGAAUUGAUUUAUAUCCUUUAUACAUGGAAUGAUGAGUUAUCCUCUAAUUUAACAAGAUCCAAUGAAAUAGAGUUAUCUUCUUUCUGAGACAAUUGUUACCUAAAUCACUGACCUUGGCUAUGGUUUCUUGUCGAUCGGUUACUCUUCACCGAUCUUAGCAAGAACACAAAGGAAUUGGCCUUAUAUAAUGAAGUUUUUAUUCAAUUUAUCUUUUUAAAUGGUAUUUAAG
rnacentral:lncRNA from 1 species